CCCUCCUGGACAGUGAUAUGAGCUUGUAUGACGGCUCCACCUUUUUCACUGUCUCUUCCCCCACCCUUCUAAAUUCUUUCCUGUGUGAAGAGCCCAGAUACAUCAGAAAGACGAGAAGACCCUGUCGAGCUUUAACCACUAGGUGAGUUUACUUAUCCCUUUUUAAAUAUCACCAAAAGGCUUUGGUUGGGGCAACCACGGAGAAAAAAAAUCCUCCAGAUUAAAUAGAAGAAAACUCUUCGCUAUUACGGUUUCGAGAACCAGGAACUGAGCAUCGGAAAAAGUUACCGCAGGCUUACAGCGGUAUCUCCUCUAAGGGUCCUUAUUGAAGAGGAGCUUUGCCACCUCCAAGUUGGCUUGGGGCCCCCUUAGGUUACAGAAGCUCUAAACGGUUAGACUGUUCGGCUAUUAAAGCCCUACAUGAUCUGAGUUUAAAUCGGAGAUUAA
rnacentral:rRNA from 1 species